rnacentral:rRNA from 1 species
GCCCGAAGCCGAUUAUCUAACCUUUUGGAAGAAGUCGUCGAAGGUGGAAUCAAUAACUGGGGUGAAGUCGUAACAAGGUAGCCGUAGCGGAAGGUGCGGCUGGAUCACCUCCUUUCUAAGGAGA